UCGCUGGUGGUCCAGUGGUUAGGACUCUGUGCUGCCAAUGCGGAGGGCACAGGUUCAAGCCCUGGUUGGAAAA
rnacentral:tRNA from 1 species